rnacentral:rRNA from 1 species
UAAACUUAGUGGCGAACGGGUGAGUAACGCGUGAGUAACCUGCCCUGGAGUGGGGGACGAACAGUUGGAAACGACUGCUAAUACCGCAUAAGCCCACGGAUCCGCAUGGAUCUGCGGGAAAAGGAUUUAUUCGCUUCAGGAUGGACUCGCGUCCAAUUAGCUAGUUGGUGAGGUAACGGCCCACCAAGGCGACGAUUGGUAGCCGGACUGAGAGGUUGAACGGCCACAUUGGGACUGAGACACGGCCCAGACUCCUACGGGAGGUAGCAUG